AAGGAGGGUGGGCCAAUGAUGACAGAGCCGAACUGGUUCCUGGCUCACUGACCACUACCUGGGGAGACUAUCAAAUAGCAGCUUUACGAGCACUUCUGGCUUCUCUCAUCUCUCCUGGCCGCACUCGGCCACAACACCUAUCUCAGGGGCUUGCACUUUUCCGCAGAGGUAAGAUUGCAAUUUUGUUGAGGUAAUUGUACAUAUUUUUUUAAGAAACAGCUGAAACCUUCUAUGCUGUUCCAUGCAUAUCUAAAAAAACUCCCUUAGACAAUACACAACAGCAAGUAAGAACUAUUGCGCAUGAAAUUAUCUUUAUUAAUCGAGCUGCUGUGUGCCUGACACAUUCCUUAUCAUUCUUCUUCUGUUUCGUAUGCUAAAUGUACUUAAAACAUACUCCGAUCAAGUAAAAGUGAAUAUUCUUGAGAUUGAAAUGUGAACUGGUUUCUGGCUCACCAACCACUACCUGGGGAGACUAUCAAAUUGCAGCUUUACGAGCACUUCUGGCUUCUCUCAUCUCUCCUGGCCGCACUCGCCCACAACACCUAUCUCAGGGGCUUGCACUUUUCCGCAGAGGUAAGAUUGCAAUUUUGUUGAGGUAAUUGUACAUAUUUUUUUUAGAAACAGCUGAAACCUUCUAUGCUGUUCCAGGCAUAUCUAAUAACACCCUUGGACAAUACACAACAGCAAGUAAGAACUGUUGCACAAGAAAUUAUCUCUAUUAAUCGGGCUGCUGUGUGCCUGACCCAUUCCUUGUCAGUCUUCUUCUGUCUCGUAUGUUAAAUGCACUUAAAACAUAAUCUGAUCAAGUAGAAGUGUAUAUUCUUGAGAUUGAAAGUUAAACUAGAUGUAUGGAGAGAGGAAAACGAUGUGCGCGAAAAUUUGAUCUCAUAAUGAUUUGUAAGUUGCGUAGCUACGAGGACUGGAAUUUUAAUCAAAUGUUUGGCCUAGCAGUUGCUCUCAAAAUGAUUGAGGUGGUGGCUUGAGAGUGGGUGGUGCUUUCUAUUUUAAGUACCACUAUCUAUCCUACUAACGCAUUUGAAGAACAUUUUACAUCUAAGGAUGAUCUUGCUGUUCACCUUGUAGUUCCCUUGUAUAGUUAAGUAUCCUUCCAAUUCUUUGCAAGCUGCUUUAAUGAAUUUACCUGUCGUUAAUUUGUUAUCAGCAGGGACUCAAGAAAUAGGAACUAAAGUUUCUGAAUGUUGUGUACACGCUCUUUUGGCGUUGGAAGUGCUUACACAUCCCCGGGCGCUUCCCUUGUUAGAUCCCCAGUCCACUGACAACAAUUAUGAGGUCAGAAAUAAGUGGUUUUCGGGGAAUUUACACAUCAGUGACCGUACAGCAAAUAACACGUUCCACAUUGGCAUGUUCAGCAAGGCCCCUGAUGAGCCAGACUCUUAUAAUGACGACCUUUAUGAACAUUGGCUGCGAAAUGGUGAAGAUUCAGAUACCGUGGCAGCUGAUCCUGGAAAAGAUGCGGAUAAAAGUAAUCAACCCCCAGAAAUUUUGAGAUACUUUAUCAGAAAAAACUCCAUCGUUUGAUACUACUGCCAUAAAAGUUUCAGAAAGUAGUAAAUUGGGGGUUACGGUUGCAAAGAAAGGACCCAUGGAUAGGGAUGAGGUCAUGGUUGAAUCACAACUCUUGUUUCAAUUGGUGGUGGGAAAAACAGCUUUCAAUCCAGUGCCCUUGUUUCUGGUGUCACACCUCCUAUUUACGCUACCACACCGCGCAAAAGGUGUGGUAAAGGGAGUUUUUCUAAUUUAAGGACAAUCAAAACGAGAUUUAUUUAUUUAAUUCAGAGUCGCCACUUGGGAGAUUUAUGGUGUCCCAAAUCACGAAUCGAGAAAAAGAAUGAUUCUGUUUAACAAUCCGCGGUGUUAGGCAUUUACGAGUUCCGUGAUUCUAGCACGGUCGCUCAACUAUUAUUUAGCUUAAAUUAUCUGAUUUUAACAAUUAUGAACAUAUGUGCCUGUAACUCUUACCGCUUUUAAAACAAGAGAUUAUUCUUUUUAAAAAUGAUUCAUGAAUGCAUACUCUUGAUUUUAAUUUUUAAUAACGUGUGGCAGUGGUAACGUAUUAUUAUUAAGAAAAUUUGGUCAAAGUUGCACAAACGCAUACUCUGAUUUUAAUUUUUAGACCCGUAAUUAUUAUAAUAUGAAGGCAGAAAUGAGCAUCCCUCAUUGGAAAUGGACUUAGCGAACUUAUCUAAUCCAAAAUGCCAACUAUUACUCAAUGACACAGUAGUCAAGCUAAUUGAACUUAAUUAACUGGAGAACCAUUACAAUUGGACAGUAACUUGUAUCGGUCAAUUGACUAAAUUAUAAAUGAAAAUGCCAAAUCCUUUCAUAGGCCAACAAUUAUCAUGAAUAGUUAAUGCUCGUAAAGGUCAAAAACACCCAAACUCUAUUUUGCACACAAUGUAUCUAGAAAGUAGAAACUGACUUUGCCAUUUAAGAUUAAUGGAAACUUUUACGAUGAUACAAUUUUCAUUCAAUCCAAAAAAAAGUACUCCUAUUUCUCAUUUUUCUACUUAUCUUUACACAAUUGUUAAACUUAGCCACAGUAAUCGCCAGAUUCCACCAUAUUCCAAGUUUCUAACACCAAAAAUUUAGAGGCGGUAGCCCAUUCUAACCGACAAAAUCUUCGGGCAUUACCAGCAAUUUAAUAAAAUAAUUGAGUUGAAUGCAAAGUAGCUAAAUCAUACAACUAAUUCAACACACACAAACAAAUCUUUAAAGAAACUGGGACCAAAUUGCUCAAUAUUAAUCAUAGGGCAAACAUACCUGGAAAUGUAAAGAAAUAAGAGGGGUAAGAUCAACAGCCAAGCAGCAGCAAAAAUCCAGCAGCAGUAACAACUCAGCGGAACCAACCAGCAGCUCAAAAAUCAAAUUUCACACCCAGAAAUCGAAGUAAACGAACAGAAACCAGUUCAAUCCAAACGAUGGAUCAGAAAAACUUCAAACAAGCUGAUUUUAAUCCAUUUCUAAAGUCAGCUAGUUGGGACUUAUUUUAUCACCAGGAAAAUUUCAAAUAUACAUAGAAGAAUUCACAUAAAACAAUACAAGACUCUCUUGUAUUCAGAAGCUGUCUUAAUCUUCUUCUCCCAAUCUCUCGGUAUACCUCCCUUUUCAGAAUGUGUAUUUCCCUCCUUUUUUUCAAUCUCCGAAAUCCCUUCCUUCCCUUAUCAGAAAGUUCUCACUUAAAUAGGCAAAUAGAAAAU
rnacentral:lncRNA from 1 species